GCCAAUAUUUUUUUAAGAAGUUAUACAAGUAUAAUUACAAAUAAUAUUGUAUAAAGCACAACUUAACUGAAACUGAAAUAUAUCUUAUUUGCGUCCAAUACAUAUCUAAAUAUGAGUAAAAGAUAUGAUUCUCUAAAAACCCACCAAAUACAUGAAAUAGCCUCACUUUCACAAAACAUAUUUUGUUUAAAUCUAAACUUUAGGAUAAUAACAAUAGUUCAAUUUUGGUGCAAAUCUCAGUAAAUUCAACAAAAUA
rnacentral:lncRNA from 1 species